GAGUCACACUGAGAUGUAGAACCAACUGUACACUGGACCCCAUCACAGCCUACAGUUGGUAUAAGAAUGGACAGUCUAUACCAAACAGCAACACCUCCUCUCCUGUCUAUAUCCUGUUCUCAGUCAGCAGUGAGGAUACAGGCAGAUACUCCUGUUCUGUAGAAGGACAUGAGGAUCUCCCCUCUGCUGAAGAGACUCUCACUGUCACAUAUGGUCCAUUGAACCCCUCAGUGUCAGUCAGUCCCUCUGGUGAACUAGUGGAGGGCAGUUCAGUGACUCUGACCUGCAGCAGUGAUGCCAACCCACCUGUGGACAAAUACACCUGGUACAAGAAGAACGUAGCCUCACCAAAAGCAUCAGGACAGAGUUACAGCAUCACUAACAUCAUCUCUGAGGACAGAGGAGAAUAUUACUGUGAGGCUGAGAAUAAAUAUGGACGUCUCAACUCUUCUUCUGUGUCUGUGGACGUUCAGUCAGUGUUUCCCUGGGUUCCUGUGGUGGGGGUGGGGGCUGUCCUGACUGCUGGAGCUCUGCUACUCACCAUCUACUGCACUCUGAAGAGGAGAUCCACAGGAGGAAGUGAUGACACAGCAGACACACUGA